ACAAACUUGGUCAUUUAGAGGAAGUAAAAGUCGUAACAAGGUUUCCGUAGGUGAACCUGCGGAAGGAUCAUUAACGAGUAAAUCAUGGGUUUGAUGCUGGUACUUGACUGUACAUGUGCUCGCCCGAUCCACUCAUACCUCACACCUGUGAACUUAUUAUUAUCACAAACUCUUGUAUUGAUGAAUGAACGUUAUGGGUUAAUAAAUGUUAAUACAACUUUCAACAACGGAUCUCUUGGCUCUCGCAUCGAUGAAGAACGCAGC
rnacentral:misc_RNA from 1 species